CAUUGGUUUGCUUCACUUUUCACAUUUCAUUUUACUUUGAUGCAGCCAUUCGAGUCCAAAGUCAAGAUCUAUUUAGAGCAAUCAAAAUACACAUUUUGAAAAGAAGUUUGUCUUUGUGCUAAUAUAUGGUUAUGAAGUUCUACUGUUUCAGAUGGAUUUCGUUAAUAAGUGUUCAUGGGAUUAAUACAACAAUCUUCAGCA